UUGACAUUCGAACGUGAUUUAGCUAUUAAUAAUAUUCAAAAAAUUGUAGACUGUUCGAAUAAUGCAGCCGAAUUUCGAGUUCGAGUUAAAGAGUUAGCCUCAAUUAAAAAAUCAUUUUUCCAAGUUCAAGCGAAAAUUGAAAAAUUAUCGGCUAAGAAUGAGUCAUUCAACCGCGAUGAUAAUUUAUCUGUGAGAAAUAAAUUCGAUUCUUUGUACUUUAAGGUCCAAGUUGCCUUAGAUACGCUUAAGGAGGAGCGUAAACAAAGCAUUACGUCCGUCUGCGGCGGAUUUAAUGGGGUGUCACAUGCGAGUUGCUGCGCUCAGCAAUCAAAUCAAUCGCAUAUUCGUUUACCGCGAUUAUCGCUUCAAACGUUCACAGGUGUUCUAACUGAAUGGAAUGCUUUCUAUGAUUUAUUUAAAUCACUUGUACAUGACAACGUCACUUUAACAAAUGUCGAACGCUUCCGGUAUUUGUUAUUGUUUUUAAAAGAUGAACCGUAUAAUCUUAUCAAAUCGAUUCCUGUUACGGAUUCUAAUUACGAAAAUGCCUUACAGGUAUUAAUUUCGCGUUAUGAAAACAAACGAAUUAUUUCAAAAAAACACUUUGACAACAUUUUUGACUGUGAGUCAGUUAACGAGAAAAAUGUUGAAUCAAGUUUACGUAACUUGAUGAAUUGUUAUCACGAGAAUAUUACAGCUUUGAAAUCAUUAGGUUUACCAGUUGACGACUGGAGUUUCGUACUUUUAAAUAUUUUGCUACGCAAAAUCACACCUCAUAUUCGUAGACGUUUUGAAUUAUCAUUAAAAACUUCAUGUGAAAUUCCUGACGUUACCGAACUACUCGAUUUCCUCGAUAAGGAACUAGCGGCAUCUGAAGUGAUGACCGCGUACGCGUGUACUUCAAGUACAUCCGCGGGGCCUGCGCAGCGCGCGGCGCCCGCGCUCGCUGCUGCUGGCGGAGCGGCCGGCUCGGCCCGGUCAGCUGCGGUGACGUCAUCGCGCCAUGCUUUGGCGGGAAAGCGUGCGAUGUCUCUUACUCGCGCGCACUCCGACGUGCAAUAUAAUGCACCGCGCAAUAAUAACUCUUCGUUUGCGCGUAACUCGCGUACUAUGAGUGUACAUGCUACAACUGCGGUGGAUUAUUUAACUAAAAUUAAAUGCGCGUAUUGUAAGGACAAUUCACAUCCUUUAUAUAAAUGCGAGAAGUUUAAUACGCUCACUUUAAAGGAACGAAAACAUUUCGUGGAACAAAAUAAACUUUGUACCAAUUGUUUAUUUAUUGGCCAUGAUGCUAAAGACUGCAAGUCGCGCCAUACUUGCCGCGUCUGCACUCAAAGGCAUCACUCUUCAUUACAUGAAGAUGCGCCCACUCCAAACGUCUUACUGACUACGGAGUCUUCGUCUUCCCCUGAGUUGCGCUCAGUAGCGGAAACCUAUAUGCCCACUCCAUUACAUGGAGCUAUGGAGCACCCUUCCAGUAAGAACUGUACGGUCUUACUCACGACUGCGCUUGUACAUUUACGACCCCUAAACCAGGGGCCUUACACGCCGCGGUCCGUUCGCGCCCUUGUGGACCAAGGAGCGCAGACCACGCUCAUUUCUGAGUCGUGCGUCCAACGUCUCGGCCUGCCGCGGUACUCCGCGCAGACGAGUACCACUCUCACCGGCAUUGGUGGCGAAGUCCAACCACGUGGUUACGUGUUGUGCGAGGUCACGCCUCACAACAAACCCGAGCCGAAGCUUCACAUCGAAGCUCUUAUCUUACCUAACCUUACAAGCUACACUGCUAAUAUUCCUAGAUCAAUUGGGGAUAUUCAGAAGUUCCCACACCUACAAAAUCUUGAUUUAGCGGACCCAGAACUGCGCUCGACGCGGCCCGUUGAACUGCUACUGGGAUCUGACUAUCUGGAUAGCAUACUACUACUGGACAAUAUCAAGGGUUCACCGGGCACACCCGUGGCCAUCAACAGCAUUUUUGGUUAUAUGUUAGGUGGUAGAAUUUCAUAUGACAGUAUGAAACGACUUAGUGUCAACUUGAGUACUUGCCAACUUGACAUGAAACUUCAAAAGUUCUGGGAAUUGGAAUCCAUACCAGAACAUCCACAUCUUACAAAAGAAGAACUGCGCUGUGAGUCUAUCUUCGUUGAUACUCACAGACGAGAUGCAAAUGGGAAAUAUACAGUUUCCCUACCCUUCAAGGAGAAUGCUCCGCCAUUGGGCGAUUCUCGUGCUAUAGCUCUCUCACGCUUAACUAAACUAGAGGCACGCCUGUCUCGCGACCCUGCCUUAAGUGAGAACUAUAAUAAAUGUAUCCAAGAAUAUUUAGACUUGGGACAUAUGGAGCCAGUCAUUGACUCAGCGAGUCCUGGCACUCCCCCCUACUACCUACCCCACCACAUUGUGGUGAAGGGUUCCGCAUCCACUACGAAGUAUCGCAUUGUGUACGACGCUUCAUGUAAAACUACAUCAGGUCGUUCUCUUAACGAUAAUCUUCUCACUGGUCAGAAAUUGCAUCAGGACAUUUCUGAAAUUUUACUGAAGUAUAGACUUCAUAAAAUCGUCUUUACGGCUGAUCUCAAAAUGAUGUAUCGCUACAUUGGUCUUUGUAAGGAACACCGUGACUUUCAUCGGAUUCUUUGGAGAUUCUCUCCCCAUGAUCCCGUCAAGGAAUAUCGUAUGUGCUCUGUCACAUUCGGCGUCGCUUCCGCGCCUUUUCUAGCCUUGCGCACACUUCGUCAAUUAGCAAUUGAUGAAGCUGCUAACUUUCCACUUGCCUCGCAAGUACUUCUUAACGAAGUAUUCGUUGAUGAUGUCGUUACUGGAGUUGAUACGGUUGAAGAUGCUGUCACUCUUCAACAUCAGCUACUUUCCAUUUGUAAAGCAGGAACGUUCGAACUCCGCAAAUGGACCAGUAAUAGUGCUGAGUUCUUAUCGCAUUUAAAUGAUGAGGCUUCCAAUCAUGAUGACGCUCUUAUUCUGUCAGCACUUGACACUGACACUUCUGUCAAGGUCUUAGGGCUCAAGUGGAACCCUAAAUCUGAUAUUUUCACCUACCAAACGGAUGGAGUGGCUAACUCGCGCAAAUGUACGAAACGUAUAAUGCUAGCAGAAAUCGCUAAAAUUUACGAUCCCCUCGGAUUCCUAAGUCCAGUGACGGUAUUUGUAAAGCAUUUAAUCCAACUUUUAUGGGUAUCAGGCUCAGGUUGGGAUUCUGCCUCUCCACAGGGUAUCUGUGACUUGUGGUUUCGGUUCAUCGACGAAUUGCCGUUAUUGCAAGACAUCGCGUUACCUCGUCACGUGCUUCCGAGUACACAUCAAGUGUCACUUCAUGGCUUUUCAGACGCCUCUGAAAAGGCGUACGCCGCCUGCGUCUAUAUUCGUGUCGUUGACUCGAAUGGUGCUAUCAGCACCCACCUUCUCAUGGGCAAAACAAAAAUUGCGCCUUUGAAACGGCUUACUAUCCCGAGAUUGGAACUAUGCGCUGCUCAUCUACUGUCAAAAUUGAUAAAAAAGGUCCUCACUGCUUACAGCAGUAGAUUGUCUUUCGACCAAGUUUACGCUUGGUCCGAUUCCACUAUAACUCUUGCCUGGUUACGUUCAUCUCCAGACAAGUGGCGGACAUACGUGUCUAACCGCAUAGCGGAGACAACAAGCAACGUGCCUGCCUCACAGUGGCACCACGUUCAAUCCGCAGACAACCCCGCAGACCCUGCGUCUCGUGGUGUCCUCCCAUCUCAGUUGAACCAUCAACUAUGGUUCACGGGACCAGCUUGGCUCAGUAAAAAUGAGUCUGAGUGGCCUAAGACUAACGUCGUAUGUCACACCGACGAAGAACGUCGUAAGCAUGUUCUUGUCACACAAACCAAAGAACCUAAUAAUUUAGAGUUCAUUGAAAGAUUUUCAUCGCUUCCAAGGAUGCUACGCGUCAUUUCGUAUAUGUUACGAUUUAUAAAUAAAUGUCGUAAGGCGAACAGUCCGACGACUAAAUAUAUCACGGUUCCUGAGACAAAACAAGCUCUCAGUCGAAUUAUAUCACUUGUUCAAAGUGACUAUUUCUCCGAAGACAUCUCGCGUCUCAAGGACGAUGAUAGAUGUACAAAACGUCUUCAGAAACUGAAACCUUUCUUGGACGAUGCCGGACUUCUCAGGGUCGGCGGCAGAAUAAAUCGGGCCAAUGUUCCGUAUGAUGCCAAGCAUCAGAUUUUGUUACCCAAGAAACAUCACUUCACGAAUCUUCUCAUUGAUUACUAUCAUAAAACACAUUUACAUGUGGGACCUCAAACUUUGCAGUUUGCCCUCGCACAGACCUACUGGAUCCUGUGUGCUCGCGAUGCUGUACGUAUGCGUACACGACGCUGCGUAUCUUGUGUUCGUGCACGACCUGUUGCACCACAGCCAUCCAUGGCUCAGUUACCUACUACUAGGGUUCGAUCACUUCGUCCCUUCUUAAAUACUUCCGUUGACUUUGCAGGACACUUCUUCCUUAAAUCAAGUAAACUUCGUAACACGAAAGUUUAUAAAUCAUACGUAUGCGUGUUCGUUUGCCAAUCAACGAAAGCAAUCCAUUUGGAAUUAGUUCCCGAUCUUUCAACCGAGUCUUUUCUAAACGCAUUGCGUAGGUUCAUAUCCCGACGCGGGUAUUGCAAAACAAUCCGUUCUGACUGCGGACGGAAUUUCGUAGGUUGUGACAGGUAUCUUUCCGAACUUUACACGUUUCUGCGAAACGAGUCAAAUCAGACUGCUAUAAACAACCAGCUGACAAACAUGCAAAUCACCUGGCAGUUUAAUCCUCCAUAUGCUUCGCAUUUUGCCGGUCUCGUCGAACGAGCCGUAGGUAGUCUGAAACGACACUUACAUCGUGUCAUAGGUACACUAAAACUAACUCAGGACGAAUUUAACACUUUGAUUUGUCAAAUUGAAGCGGUAUGUAAUUCAAGACCUCUGUGUCUACUUAGUAAUGAUCCUACUGAUCCAUUACCCCUGACUCCUGGACAUUUCCUCAUCGGGGAACCAUUAACGUCUUUACCUGAAUUUGACUUGUCUAACGACAACCCAAACCGCCUCGCUAGAUGGCAGGUUAUUCAACAAGCUGUUCAACAUUUUUGGAAACGCUGGAGCGUAGAAUAUUUACACCAGCUACAACCAAGAGGUAAAUGGUUCCACGACAAUACUAACACACCCCUUCGGGAGGGUUCUGUAGUAGUGUUGAUAGACAACACACUGCCACCACUGCAAUGGCGUCUCGCGCGCGUGCAUCAACUGCAUCCCGGCGCCGACGGUAUUACCAGAGUCGUAACUGUACGCAUCGGUAAUACUCUUACCAAGCGACCUGUAGUUAAGGUCUGCCCCCUGCCUGUUGAAUAGGCAUCACUUAGGUUAGCAUUACAUGUUUUAGUCCUAAGUUAGCAUAGUAGUUCUUAAAUAAAAUAAGUAUUAUUUUAUGGUCGGCGGCAUGUUCGGUACUUUUGUAUAUGUACGCACAAAUACUACGUAUUUUCGUUUAUUAUUUUAAAAUCAAUUAAUAUUCAUGGACUAGCAUAUUCCAAACGGGAUAAGCCUGAAACGGAACGCUUUUCUCAAAGCGCGCAACACCGAAGCUCGAGUGUUGCCAUCCUCUCUUGCCAACGAUCUCCAAAUCGAAACGCGCGAUAUCUGCUCGCUCCGUCGAAGCUUGAGUCGAAAAACCCAAAAUCAAAUUGACACAGUGUACAGCAUAAAUAGAAAUCGUCUCCCGACGCCAGCCUGUGAGAUUACGACAUUUCACCAUCGAAGGAACCAAACCAGCCAGGGGCCCCUGAGAAAGUUGCAGACCACGUCACAGGGAGAAAAGGACAGCGGCAAAAACUCCAUAUUGUUGUGCGAAAAGAGAAAGGCGGACGACACAGACAUCAACAAAGACUUGAAAAAGGUAAGUUUUAUAAUUAUUACGUUACAAGUUUUUCUAUGCUAUGCUAAAAAGUCAAGAAUAUACAUUAAAAAAUCUGAAGAUCCACUUAAGACUAAAAUUGAUGAAUCCAGUGUUGAUUCUGUCGGAUUUUGGGUUUGUCGUGUAUUCUGAAAUCCGUACUUAAUGAGAAAAUCUUAAGAAGAUUACCGUACCUAUCAUAAAAUAAUGCGCUAAGUGCGGGAAAAAUGUAUGAGAUAGACCGAAUGUACUAUCCUGGAUUAUUAACCUAUAAUAUAUGUAGUGCUUUCACCAAAAAUUAAGCCUCAAAUACUUCAGGUUUAAAAAAAUGCGAACAAAGAAAAAAUAUUUUUAUUUUAUUACAGCCAAAGUGCUAAUCCGACGUCUUUGUAAUUUGGAUAUGUUGU